rnacentral:rRNA from 2 species
AUAGGGGAGCCGUAGGGAAACCGAGUCUUAACCGGGCGUUAAGUUGCAGGGUAUAGACCCGAAACCCGGUGAUCUAGCCAUGGGCAGGUUGAAGGUUGGGUAACACUAACUGGAGGACCGAACCGACUAAUGUUGAAAAAUUAGCGGAUGACUUGUGGCUGGGGGUGAAAGGCCAAUCAAACCGGGAGAUAGCUGGUUCUCCCCGAAAGCUAUUUAGGUAGCGCCUCGUGAAUUCAUCUUCGGGGGUAGAGCACUGUUUCGGCUAGGGGGUCAUCCCGACUUACCAACCCGAUGCAAACUGCGAAUACCGGAGAAUGUUAUCACGGGAGACACACGGCGGGUGCUAACGUCCGUCGUGAAGAGGGAAACAACCCAGACCGCCAGCUAAGGUCCCAAAGUCAUGGUUAAGUGGGAAACGAUGUGGGAAGGCCCAGACAGCCAGGAUGUUGGCUUAGAAGCAGCCAUCAUUUAAAGAAAGCGUAAUAGCUCACUGGUCGAGUCGGCCUGCGCGGAAGAUGUAACGGGGCUAAACCAUGCACCGAAGCUGCGGCAGCGACACUGUGUGUUGUUGGGUAGGGGAGCGUUCUGUAAGCCUGCGAAGGUGGCCUGUGAGGGUUGCUGGAGGUAUCAGAAGUGCGAAUGCUGACAUAAGUAACGAUAAAGCGGGUGAAAAGCCCGCUCGCCGGAAGACCAAGGGUUCCUGUCCAACGUUAAUCGGGGCAGGGUGAGUCGACCCCUAAGGCGAGGCCGAAAGGCGUAGUCGAUGGGAAACAGGUUAAUAUUCCUGUACUUGGUGUUACUGCGAAGGGGGGACGGAGAAGGCUAUGUUGGCCGGGCGACGGUUGUCCCGGUUUAAGCGUGUAGGUGUGUGUUCCAGGUAAAUCCGGUUCACUUUAACACUGAUGCGUGAUGACGAGGCACUACGGUGCUGAAGCAACAAAUGCCCUGCUUCCAGGAAAAGCCUCUAAGCAUCAGGUAACAUCAAAUCGUACCCCAAACCGACACAGGUGGUCAGGUAGAGAAUACCAAGGCGCUUGAGAGAACUCGGGUGAAGGAACUAGGCAAAAUGGUGCCGUAACUUCGGGAGAAGGCACGCUGACA